ensembl:rRNA 5S_rRNA 5S ribosomal RNA
GCUUACGGCCAUACCACCCUGAGAACGCCCGAUCUCGUCUGAUCUUGGAAACUAAGCAGGGUCGGGCCUGGUUAGUACUUGGAUGGGAGACCGCCUGGGAAUACCAGGUGCUGUAAGCU